GACAUGUACGGAAUCCUUAGAGAUAGAGGAGUGCUCGAAAGAGAACCGUAACACAGGUGCUGCAUGGCUGUCGUCAGCUCGUGUCGUGAGAUGUUGGGUUAAGUCCCGCAACGACGCGCAACCCUUGUCAUUAGUUGCUACAUUCAGUUGGGCACUCUAAUGAGACUGCCGGUGACAAACCGGGAGGAAGGUGGGGAUGACGUCAAGUCCUCAUGGCCCUUAUAGGUGGGGCUACACACGUCAUACAAUGGAUGGUACAAAGGGUCGCCAACCCGCGAGGGGGAGCCAAUCCCAUAAAGCCAUUCGUAGUCCGGAUCGCAGUCUGCAACUCGACUGCGUGAAGUCGGAAUCGCUAGUAAUCGUGGAUCAGAAUGUCACGGUGAAUACGUUCCCGGGUCUU
rnacentral:rRNA from 1 species